AUAUUUGGGUUUUUUCCCUCCCAGGUCACUUUGUAGCAAUGGAUAGGAAGAGUAGGGAGGAGAGGGAAAAGGAGGGAAUAAGCAUUUAUUAAAUUCCUUCUAUGUGACAGACAUUAUUCUAAGCAUUUUACAUAUAAGGCUUUUUCUUGAUCUUACCAACAACCUUGGGAAGUAGGUAUUCUUAUUAUUAUCCCUAUUUUAUAGACAAGGAAAUGGAGCUGAUUUGUUAAGUGAUUUGCCCAGAAGUCACCCAGUUAGAGGCUAGAUUUGAAUUCCAAUCUUCCUGUCUUCAGUCCCAGCACUUGACUGUUCUAUCUGUAGUCAGAAUUAAUGUUAUUUAAGAAGAAUUACUCAGAAAUGCUCCUCAAGCCCUUGAGAUUCCGCUAAUUAGAGAUAGAAUUAGAAUUUUGGAGAAGAAGUUGUGCUUUUGGAGUAUGAGGCACUUCUGGGACAGGGGUGACCAGGGAGCUAUAGUAUACUCUGAGAUCACCCAGCCCUAAAUGAAAAAGAUAGCCAGGAGUUAUUUGUGACAAGUAAGGUGAGGAAGAGAGUUCCUGAAGCUAACAUUCUCCUGGUUUUGAGUCAUUUCAGUCAUGUCGGACUCUUCGUGACUCCAUUUAGGGUUUUCUUAGCAAAAAUACUUGAGUAUGCCAUUUCCUUUUCCAGCUUAUUUUACAGAUAAGAAACUGAAGCAAAAGAUCAAAUUUUAUCCAAGGUCAUACACCUAUUAAGCAAAACUGGUUCUAAAGAUGAUGAGUAAUGAAAGAAACUUGAUACAAGAAAACACCGUCUUUUAAUACAGUAACUGAAGUCAACUUUUUUUUCCUUCUAUUGAAGUGGCAUUUUAUAAACAUAAGUUUUUGUAUGUUCCUAAGUAAUUAGAUCAUAAAUUCAUGCAGAAAUUUGUUGGUAUUUCAUUAUUCUCACAAAUUUGCCUUAAAGGAAGGUAAAACAUGCCACCAAGAAUGUGCAGUGUCCUUUCAGGAGCCUGUUAAGCUUUAUAAGUGAUCAAAUAUCAAGAAGAGUAAAUGAAGAUAUAUGCAGUGUUAAUUUAUACUGUCUUAUUCUAGGGUGUGACUUUUUUAAGGGAAUGUAAAGCCAAUUAGAAUAAAGCUGUUUAUCAAGCAUACCCAUUUCAAGUCUUCAUCUCAGUGGAGUAAACAGUAAGAGUGAAAUUAUUUGGCAGCAUGAGCUAUAUUAAUAGGCUUGUCACUUUAUGUCUUCAUCUAUCAUUCCCUUGAAUUACUGAUGUUUAAAUUGCUUCAGAGAAAGCUAGUGGUUGAAUAUCACCAUGAUCUUUUUCAUGUAGUUCGCAUCUGUAUGUAGUUACUUUCCAUGUUUUGUUCUUUUGCAGAGAACUGCUGUCUUCUCACAGAUAAAUCUAAAUUAUAUUUUUCUCAAUAUUGAUGUAUUGGGAGAUUUAAACAUGAGAGGUUUUCAUAAUAUAUAGCUUAAGAAAAAAAUAAUUCUGCCAAAUGCAUUGGAAAGAAUUUUGUACAGAUGUUGCUCUCUUGUAUUUUUAAAAAAAAAAUCUUUACUGAACACACAGUAAUGGAGUAAAAGAUGCCUUAAUGUCAUUUAAUUUUUUAUUGUUGGAGACAUUGAUUUUAAUAAAUUACUAUUUAUCUGCCA